CCUGGAGACCUUAUUAAGAUGCAGAUUCUGAUGAGCAGGUCUGGGGUGGGGCCAACAUUCUGCAUUUUUCACAAGCUCCCAGGUGAUGCUGAUGCUGCUGGUUC
rnacentral:pre_miRNA from 1 species